CCUACGGGUGGCAGCAGUGAGGAAUAUUGGUCAAUGGGAGAGAUCCUGAAACAGCCAAGCCGCGUGAGGGAAGGCGUCCCUAUGGGUUGUAAACCUCUUUUGUCUGAGAACAAAACCCGGGACGUGUCCCGUACUGCGUGUAUCCGAAGAAAAAGCCUCGGCUAACUCCGUGCAAGCAGCCGCGGUAAUAAGGAGGAUGCGAGCGUUAUCCGGAUUUAUUGGGUUUAAAGGGUGCGUAGGCGGUCCGUUAAGUCAGCGGUAAAAUUGCGGGGCUCAACCCCGUCGAGCCGUUUAAACUGGCAGACUUGAGUUGGCGAGAAGUACGCGGAAUGCGCGGUGUAGCGGUGAAAUGCAUAGAUAUCGCGCAGAACUCCGAUUGCGAAGGCAGCGUACCGGCGCCAGACUGACGCUGAGGCACGAAAGCGUGGGGAUCGAACAGGAUUAGAUACCCUGGUAGUC
rnacentral:rRNA from 1 species